rnacentral:tRNA from 1 species
GGCGGCAUAGCUCAGUUGGCUAGAGCACUCGGUUCAUACCCGAACGGUCACUGGUUCAAAUCCAGCUGCCGCUA